rnacentral:rRNA from 1 species
CCUACGGGAGGCUGCAGUGAGGAAUAUUGGUCAAUGGCCGGAAGGCUGAACCAGCCAUGCCGCGUGAAGGACAGAGCCCUAUGGGCGUUAAACUUCUUUUGUGCGGGAGCAAGAAUGGUCACGUGUGGACAGACGAGAGUACCGUACGAAGAAGCAGCGGCGAACUCCGUGCCAGCAGGCGCGGUAAUCCGGGGGAUGCAAGCGUUCGCCGGAUUUCUUGGGUGUCAAGGGUGCGUAGGCUGUGAGGUAAGGCAGCGGUGAAAUGCCCCCGCUCAACGGGGUGAAGUGCCUUUGAUACUGCCUUUCUGGACUGCGGCUGCCGUGGGAGUAAUGUGUGGUGUAGCGGUGAACUGCAUAGAUAUCACACA